rnacentral:rRNA from 1 species
UACGUAGGUGGCUAGCGUUGUCCGGAUUUACUGGGCGUAAAGAGCGCGCAGGCGGUCGGUCAAGUCGAGUGUGAAAGCCCCCGGCUCAACUGGGGAGGGUCACUCGAUACUGAUCGACUCGAAGGCAGGAGAGGGAAGCGGAAUUCCCGGUGUAGUGGUGAAAUGCGUAGAUAUCGGGAGGAACACCAGUGGCGAAGGCGGCUUUCUGGCCUGUUCUUGACGCUGAGGCGCGAAAGCUAGGGUAGCAAACGGG